CAUUUAAAUGUUUUUGUUUCAACUGUGUAAAAAUCAUUCUCGUUUGAGUAACAAAACGUCUAAAACCGCAUAAACGUGCUCUACUAAAUAUAUAUAUAAAAUAAAACUAUAAAAUACAAAAAUAAAUUUGGAUAAAACACAGAGUCGCGUCAGAACAAAAAGAAAAAACUGUAUUCCUAUAACUUGCUAAAAUACAGAAAACAUCUUUUUUCGGUUUUUUAAUAAAAAAAAGAAAAAUUACUCAGAAAAAAAAACUUUAAAACUAAAAAGUGUUUUAAAAGUGCAAACAAAAAUAAGAAAAACUAAUAGGUUUUGUUAAAACAAACAUGAUACUUCUCUUUAUGACCUCAUAUAAACAGUUAUGCUUUUCUAAACGCCAGAUAAACAACAUCUUAACAACGUUUUACUCAACAUAACAAAGAAAUUUGUUAAUUUAAAAAGCCAAAAACAAAAAAAAAAAAAUUACAAAUUAAAAACAAAAUCCAAUAAAAUUUUUAUUAUUAAUCGCAUUUUUACCGCUAAAUUAUUUUUAAACCAUAAUUAUUAUAAUUAUUAAAUAUUAGGAUUUUUUUCCAUAUUUCAGUUUAACGCAUUUUUUUUUCGUCUUAGAGAAACUCAUAAGAUUUAAACUAGUUACUUGUUAUAUUUAUUUUUUUAAUUUUAAAUUUAAAAUAAUUUUUUUUUCAAACUUGAAAAAAAUUUCCUAAAAAGAGGCUUUUUUUCUUAUACUUUCUCAAUAAGAACUUCUAAACAUUAGUAUUAUUUAUUU